rnacentral:rRNA from 1 species
GUGGGGAAUUUUGGACAAUGGGGGCAACCCUGAUCCAGCCAUUCCGCGUGAGUGAAGAAGGCCUUCGGGUUGUAAAGCUCUUUCGUCAGGAACGAAACGGCGGGCUCUAACAUAGCCUGUUAAUGACGGUACCUGAAGAAGAAGCACCGGCUAACUACGUGCCAGCAGCCGCGGUAAUACGUAGGGUGCGAGCGUUAAUCGGAAUUACUGGGCGUAAAGCGUGCGCAGGCGGAUUGUUAAGCAAGACGUGACAUCCCCGGGCUUAACCUGGGAAUGGCGUUUUGAACUGGCAGUCUAGAGUGCGUCAGAGGGGGGUGGAAUUCCACGUGUAGCAGUGAAAUGCGUAGAGAUGUGGAGGAACACCGAUGGCGAAGGCAGCCCCCUGGGAUGACACUGACGCUCAUGUACGAAAGCGUGGGUAGCAAACAGGAUUGGAUACCCGAGUAGUCC